rnacentral:rRNA from 1 species
UAAUCGCGCAUCAGCCAUGGCGCGGUGAAUACGUUCCCGGGCCUUGUACACACCGCCCGUCAAGCCAUGGAAGCCGGGGGUGCCUGAAGUGUGCAGCCGCAAGGAGCGCCCUAAGGUAAAACCGGUGACUGGGGCUAAGUCGUAACAAGGUAUC